AGAUUGAACGCUGGCGGCAGGCCUAACACAUGCAAGUCGAGCGGUAGAGAGGUGCUUGCAUCUCUUGAGAGCGGCGGACGGGUGAGUAAUGCCUAGGAAUCUGCCUAGUGGUGGGGGAUAACGUUCGGAAACGGACGCUAAUACCGCAUACGUCCUACGGGAGAAAGCGGGGGACCUUCGGGCCUCGCGCCAUUAGAUGACGCCUAGGUCGGAUUAGCUAGUUGGUGAGGUAAUGGCUCACCAAGGCGAACGAUCCGUAACUGGCCUGAGA
rnacentral:rRNA from 1 species